rnacentral:rRNA from 1 species
AUUGAACGCUGGCGGCAGGCCUAACACAUGCAAGUCGAACGAGUGGCGGACGGGUGAGUAAUGUCUGGGAAACUGCCUGAUGGAGGGGGAUAACUACUGGAAACGGUAGCUAAUACCGCAUAACAUCAUAUGUGCCCAGAUGGGUUUAGCUAGUUGGGGGGUUAACGGCUCACCAAGGCUACGAUCCCUAGCUGGUCUGAGAGGAUGACCAGCCACACUGGAACUGAGACACGGUCCAGAGUCCUACGUGAGGCAGCAGUGUGGAAUAUUGCACAAUGGGCGCAAGCCUGAUGCAGCAAUGCCGCGUGUAUGAAGAAGGCCUUCGGGUUGUAAAGUACUUUCAGCGGGGAGGCGUUACCCGCAGAAGAAGCACCGGCUAACUCCGUGCCAGCAGCCGCGGUAAUUC